rnacentral:rRNA from 1 species
ACGGAAGGCAGCAGUGGGGAAUAUUGCACAAUGGGGGAAACCCUGAUGCAGCGACGCCGCGUGAGUGAAGAAGUUAUUCGUAAUGUAAAGCUCUAUCAGCAGGGAAGAAAAUGACGGUACCUGACUAAGAAGCCCCGGCUAACUACGUGCCAGCAGCCGCGGUAAUACGAAGGGGGCAAGCGUUAUCCGGAUUUACUGGGUGUAAAGGGAGCGUAGACGGUCUAGCAAGUCUGAUGUGAAAGGCAGGGGCUCAACUCCUGGACUGCAUUGGAAACUGUUAGUCUUGAGUGUCGGAGAGGUAAGCGGAAUUCCUAGUGUAGCGGUGAAAUGCGUAGAUAUUAGGAGGAACACCAGUGGCGAAGGCGGCUUACUGGACGAUAACUGACGUUGAGGCUCGAAAGCGUGGGGAGCAAACAGGAUUAGAUACCCUGGUA